GGAGGAGUGGCCGAGCGGUUUAAGGCUCUUGUCUUGAAAACAAGCGUACGUUCACGCGUACCGUGGGUUCGAAUCCCACCUCCUCCGC
rnacentral:tRNA from 1 species